rnacentral:misc_RNA from 1 species
GAUGAAGAACGUAGCGAAAUGCGAUAAGUAGUGUGAAUUGCAGAAUUCAGUGAAUCAUCGAAUCUUUGAACGCACAUUGCGCCCCUUGUUAUCCCGAGGGGCAUGCCUGUUCGAGCGUCAUUUCACCACUCAAGCCUGGCUUGGUGUUGGGCGACGUCCCCUUUGGGGACGCGCCUCGAAACGCUCGGCGGCGUGGCACCGGCUUUAAGCGUAGCAGAAUCUUUCGCUUUGGAAGUCGGGGCCCCGUCUGCCGGAAGACCUACUCGCAAGGUUGACCUCGGAUCAGGCAGGGAUACCCGCUGAACUUAAGCAUAUCAAUAAGCGGAGGA